AUUGAACGCUGGCGGCAGGCCUAACACAUGCAAGUCGAGCGGGGUUUUCGGACCUAGAGGCGGACGGGUGAGUAAUGCGUAGGAAGCUGCCCGAUAGAGGGGGAUACCAGUUGGAAACGACUGUUAAUACCGCAUAAUGUCUACGGACCAAAGUGUGGGCCCUUCGGGCCACAUGCUAUCGGAUGCGCCUACGUGGGAUUAGCUAGUUGGUGAGGUAAUGGCUCACCAAGGCGACGAUCUCUAGCUGGUUUGAGAGGAUGAUCAGCCACACUGGAACUGAGACACGGUCCAGACUCCUACGGGAGGCAGCAGUGGGGAAUAUUGGACAAUGGGCGCAAGCCUGAUCCAGCCAUGCCGCGUGUGUGAAGAAGGCCUUCGGGUUGUAAAGCACUUUCAGCGAGGAGGAAGGGUGGUGUGUUAAUAGCACAUCAUUUUGACGUUACUCGCAGAAGAAGCACCGGCUAACUCUGUGCCAGCCGCCGCUGUAAUAC
rnacentral:rRNA from 1 species